rnacentral:rRNA from 1 species
CUGCAGCUCAAGUGGUGACCGCUAUUAUUGGGCCUAAAACGUUCGUAGCCGGCUGAGUAAAUGCUUGGGUAAAUCGUGCCGCUUAACGGUACGAAUUCCGGGUAGACUGCUCAGCUUGAGACCGGGAGAAGCUAGAGGUACUCCUGGGGUAGAGGUGAAAUUCUGUAAUCCUGGGGGGACCACCAGUGGCGAAGGCGUCUAGCUAGAACGGGUCUGACGGUGAGGAACGAAGCCCUGGGGCGCGAACCGGAUUAGAUACCCGAGUAGUCC